rnacentral:misc_RNA from 1 species
CCGAGUGCGUCCGUUAAUUCGGACACCUCCCACCCUUGUGUAUUUUCGCUGAAAAGCAGCUUCGGCGGGCCGUCUGAUUUUGGUCACAAAGUCACGACGUCGGCCCUGUGCGGAUUUGCGCCCGCCGAAGAACCAAACUCUUGACAAUUUGAAGUCUGAUGAAACAAACAAUAAAUUA